rnacentral:rRNA from 1 species
CCUACGGGAGGCAGCAGUGGGGAAUAUUGGGCAAUGGGCGCAAGCCUGACCCAGCAACGCCGCGUGAAGGAAGAAGGCUUUCGGGUUGUAAACUUCUUUUAAGAGGGAAGAGAAGAAGACGGUACCUCUUGAAUAAGCCACGGCUAACUACGUGCCAGCAGCCGCGGUAAUACGUAGGUGGCAAGCGUUGUCCGGAUUUACUGGGUGUAAAGGGAGCGUAGGCGGCGAUGCAAGUCAGAAGUGAAAGCCCGGGGCUCAACUCCGGGACUGCUUUUGAAACUGUGUUGCUAGAUUGCAGGAGAGGUAAGUGGAAUUCCUAGUGUAGCGGUGAAAUGCGUAGAUAUUAGGAGGAACACCAGUGGCGAAGGCGGCUUACUGGACUGUAAAUGACGCUGAGGCUCGAAAGCGUGGGGAGCAAACAGGAUUAGAUACCCUUGUAGUC